GGCGGGUGGUGGAACAGGGCGACCACCAGCAGCUCCUGGCCGCCGACGGCCAGUACGCGGCCAUGUUCCACGCCCAGGCCCACCG
rnacentral:tRNA from 1 species